ACCAAAGCAAGUUGGCACAUUAGGCGUGCACGAUUUUGGUGGGACUACCCGCCCCGUGCUGCCCAGAACUGAGUAAACAUACUUACUUUACAAUCUUACUGAUUGUGGAGUCAGCUUUCUGUGAGUCAUUUUGGUGAGCCAGGCAGGAGACACUCUGCUCGGCUGCGGGAUCGGCUGUGGCGCGGACGCCCCUAGGUGCACCCUGAGUGUUUUGCUCGGAGGGGACUCCACUCUCAGCCGCUCACCGCAGGUGCAGAUAAAGAUCUCCUGAAGCUGUGGACAAACGCAUGUAAAAGACUGUCAUGGUUACCUCCCAUGGACCUUUUCCAUCUAGCUGUGGCUGAGGAUGGUGGGGAGCAUGGUGUCCAUGGUGUCACCUUUCCUAUCACAGGAAGAAGGACCAGGACAUAAACUAACAGCUGCCAGGGAAGGGAUAUGACCUAGACCUUACAUUAAAAGCUCUUCAAAAGGCAACAGCAUCAAGCAAAUAUUGUGAUGCAGCUGAAUGUCAUUGGGAAACAAGGUACUGUAUAUCAGCCCUACGUAAUGAAUGCAAAUUGUAUUUUUAGAAUCCAAAUGGGAAAGCAUAAAAGGCUACAAAAGCUUUAAUUUAUGAUUUGUUCAUUUAAAGCUUCAGGCCAUUAAGUACCCAUUAAGUUACUCUUUUAUAUGCCACUAAGUGCAUCUCUAUUGUCAGAAUAAAAAGAUUGUUUUAAUUCACCCUAUAUCAGAUAAAACAUUUUAAUUGAGGGCAUUUGUGAUAACAAAUUGACUGGAAUUGGAAAGUAAAUUAAUGCUGAGUUCUGACAGCAGGACAUCUUUGUGAAUUUGCUUUUAGUGUUUGUGUGUGCAAUAACAGUUACAUUAUAUGUGUGUUUAUUUCUGUUGAGAUUUCAUUUACAAAGAUUCUACCCCAAAUAAAAUUUUGAUUUUCAUUCCUCUGGUAGGGUUCCCUAGAUUCAUGUCUUUUCUACUCUUACCAUGGAGCUCAGAUUAUCUCUUAAACAUUUUGUAACGUUCUCUGACCUCCCUGCUAAGAGCCUCCAUUAUUUAAGAUGUGUUCUGAAAAUGGGGAGUAGAAACAAGUGGAUUAGAAGAAACUGCGUAUUUUCCUUCCCAAGGAUAUUUCAGGGUUUGCUUUCAUUUGAGAGAAUGUGGAGUUUUAAAGCCUGCCUGCAGAAUAUGGACAUUUCAAAGAACGUUCAUUUAGAGAUGUUGACAUAUUUUGUGUUGGCAUUUUUGAUUGAAAUCAAGCAUUGCAUUCCUGGAACUGAAGUGGUUCAUUUUCUUUUGUUCGUGAGCUGAUCAGCAUGCAGACAUAUUGUAUUGCCAUUGUUGCCUGGCCUCCAAUUUUCUCUGUGGUGCUGAGAAAUACUCCUCCCAGGAUGAAGUGACUGAAAUACCUACAUAUAUAUACCUAGAUCAUGACCUACAUGACUAAAUCAUCUGCUGUAAUUUGAAACUCUUGCUCGCUUGUGCAGAAAUGUCCAAAUUCCCAGCAGGCAAUAUUCUAAGAAAAUGCAGUUGAAUUUCAUUGAUUUUUAAGCAAAAGACAUUGUCCUGUUUAAUAAAAUAAAUUGUUGCAAUUUGGAUUUAAAACAACAACAACAAAACAGAUGCAAGACCCCAUUUUCUGAAGAAAAAAAACUGACAUUUGGAAAAUAUUUCCAAACAUAUUUUUUACAUGAAAUUAUUUCCUUCAAGUUCUGAAAUUGCAUCUGAUGUCAAUUUAUGCACCAGGAAAGGUCACCCUCUGUCUCUCAGGACUGCUGGAUUGCUUCUGUAAUGACUAUUUCUCAUUUAUGGGAAGGUUCGCAACUGGGGGAGGGAGUAACUGAAAAGCAGAAGGGCUAAAAAGAAGCUUCUUAAAGUGAUCUGUGGCCUGGAAAGACAAGUAAAGGGCAAUCCUGCAGUUCCUUGCUCAGACGUGCUAGCCAAUUAAGCAAUUAUAUUAUCUUGGGCUUCUCUGAGUAGCUUUUUCUGCCAGCCCAUCUGGUCUUCUCCUUAACUUCUAUGAGAUUUCUAUUUGCAGCUCUUCUGUCUUCCUGUGUGUUGCUUCUCCAUCACUGUUUUCUACCUUCUGGCUCUGUCUUUCCACUAGCUUCUUCUCUAUUAUCGAUCACAUAAGAGCAACUCGUUACUAAGAAUUGCUAGACAAAAGGCCUUACACUUUUAUGCCUAUUUUCUGUGAUUAUUCAGUAUGCAGCAGAAAUAAGCUUUUAAAAUACAUCAGUUUUAAAUGUGUUUUUAGUGACCUUUCUGCUUAUCCAUAGGUGAAUAAUUUUUCUAACAAUUUUCAAAUUCAAUACCUUAAAAUGUUUUUCAACCUAAAGUGUGAAGCAAAUGUACAUUCUUCCUGUGAAUUUGAAGUAGAAUUAUUGUUCAUAGUGUGAAAAGGUAUUUUCAAGAAAAUGUUUGCCAGUUCCAUUAAGUUAUUGUAUAUUUUUUCAAGGAUUCCAGUAAUCUGUAUUUGUCAGUUAUAUAGAUAAGAAAAUGACUUGGAAAGUGAAGGCAUUUAUCUAUUCACAAAAUAAAUAAAUAAGUAAAUACGUAGUGCAGUACUUCAAUUUGCCUCAUUUUUUUUUAUUUUUUUUAUUUUUUAACUUGGAAAUUUAGUUCAGAUUCAAUUAAUGAAGCUAAAAAAUCUGGUAAACAGAGAGGGAAAUAUUGGGUGACAAACACUAGAAUGGGUUGCCCAGAGAAGUUGUGAAGUAUGUUUCUCUGGAGAUACUCAAAACCCACCCAGAUGUCAUCUUGCACAAUGUUCUGUAGGUGAUCCUGCUCAGCAGAAGAGUUGGAAUAGACAAUAUUUCGAGGUCUCUUCCAACCUCGGCCAUUCUGUGAUUCUGUGAAAUAUUGUUGUGGAAAUGUUAAAUUGCAGUUUAAUUGGAUUUUUAAUUUCUAUUAAGUUAAAGGGAUUUAUUAAUAGGAUUCAUUUAACUUUUUGUUUUGUUUUGUUAAAUUAACCAAAGAUAGAAUGUGUCACAGGAAAAACUGAAGGGUUUAAAGAAAGAGGAAGGGCUACCUUAAGAAGACAUGAAUGUGUUUUGUAACAGUGUCUCUCCAUCACUUUGCCAGAUUGUCCUCUAUUAUAACAGAUCCUAACAUUCAGGAACAGCAAGAUGGAUUUAUGCACAUUUUCUAUGUAUCUCAGAAAAUACUUUGCUCUUUUUUUUUUUUCUUUACCAGAUCUUUUGUUUCCGCACAUAGAAAAUCAAUCUCAUUUAAUGCAUCGGGAAACUCUCUCUUAAGACUCACUGCCUUUCACUUUGGGUUAUCCUCUCAGCCAAAUCCUGCGAGAUUAUAAUUGAUUUUAAAAGUCAGCAGCAAAAGUAUUUGAUCUUUGGGUGACAAACAGUCAAAGAGGAGCCCUCAGGAUCAGUGUUAAACGUCAAUGAAAUUAGAUUCAUGCUAGGAUAGGCAAGUUACAAAAAUUUAAAACCAGCUGUAACUGUGAUAGUAAUAAAUGGAAACUCAGCAAAAUGAAGCUAUUAGUCAACAAUGUGCAAUCUCAUAAACGUGAACAAAUGAUUAUGGAGCAGCUCAGGCCUGAAUUAAAACCAAACAAGCUGAAACAAGCAAUAUCACUGAGAUGGGUAAAAUACAUUUAUUCGAGACGAUGUAACAAUACACAGUAGAAUAAAAACUGAACCUUCAGCUGAUAUGCUUGUCACAAUCAGGUACAGUUUAAUAUAUAGAUGUUCUCAUCACCAUUGUUCUCUGCCCAUUGAAGCAUUUAUAUGUCUGUACUUCCCUUUAUUCCACAGGUCUUUUCCCAAAAUGUUCAUAAAAACUGUUGAUGGUUUCAGCUUCAUUUGUCAAAGUGGUCACUCAGGGCAGGCGAAGCUGGUUUUCUUGAUACCAACACCAGCUUAGCUCACAUCCCUUAUCACCCACAAGCCUCUGGGAAGGUUGAGAGGUACAAUGGACUGUUAAAAACUAUGUUGCGAGCAUUGGGUGCUGGGACGUGGAAAUAUUGGGAUAUAAAUCUACCAGAGGCCACUUGGCUAGUUAACAACAGGGGGUCUGACAGCCGUCCUGAUCCUGCUGAAACAAAAUCCCUACACACUGUGGAAGAAGCUAAAGUCCCUGUAGUGCAUGUGGGGAAGUGGAUGGGGAAGGUGGUGUGGGUUGCCCCUGCCAUGGGAAAAGGCAAACCCACUUGUGGGAUUGU